UAUGGUCGUCGUAGGUAUAAUUACGGAGGCUAUGGGUACCGUCGUCAUUACAGGUACUGGUAGAAAAGGUCAUACCAAGCUACACUGACCUCGCAGAUUGUGACAGCUGUUCAUCACAGAACAAAAUUAACAGUUCGAUAUCACUUAAUAAAAGCUUUUUAAUCCA